AACCUCAUCAACCAGAAGGGAUUCCUUCCGGUCAAUGAGGUGUAACAACCUCAUCAACCGGAAGGGAUUCCUUCCAGUCGAUGAGGUG
rnacentral:miRNA from 1 species